UGGGGGAUAUUGGACAAUGGGGGGAACCCUGAUCCAGCGACGCCGCGUGAGUGAAGAAGUAUCUCGGUAUGUAAAGCUCUAUCAGCAGGGAAGAAAGUGACGGUACCUGAAGAAGAAGCCCCGGCUAACUACGUGCCAGCAGCCGCGGUAAUACGUAGGGGGCAAGCGUUAUCCGGAUUUACUGGGUGUAAAGGGAGCGUAGACGGCAGCGCAAGUCUGAAGUGAAAUGCCAGGGCUUAACCCUGGAACUGCUUUGGAAACUGUGUAGCUAGAGUGCAGGAGAGGUAAGUGGAAUUCCUAGUGUAGCGGUGAAAUGCGUAGAUAUUAGGAGGAAUACCAGUGGCGAAGGCGGCUUACUGGACUGUAACUGACGUUGAGGCUCGAAAGCGUGGGGAGCAAACAGG
rnacentral:rRNA from 1 species